GACGAACGCUGGCGGCGUGCCUAAUACAUGCAAGUAGAACGCACAGUUUAUACCGUAGCUUGCUACACCAUAGACUGUGAGUUGCGAACGGGUGAGUAACGCGUAGGUAACCUGCCUGGUAGCGGGGGAUAACUAGUGGAAACGAUAGCUAAUACCGCAUGCUAUUAAUUAUUGCAUGAUAAUUAAUUGAAAGUUGCAAUUGCACCACUACCAGAUGGACCUUCGUUGUAUUAGCUAGUAGGUGAGGUAACGGCUGACCUAGGCGACGAUACAUAGCCGACCUGAGAUGGCGAUCGGCCACACUGGGACUGUGACACGGCCCAGAGUGCCUCGGGAGGCAGCAGUAGGGCAUCUGCGGCAAGCGACGAAAGUCUGACCGAGCAACGCCGCGUGAGGGAAGAAGGUUGUCGGAUCGUAAAGCUCUGUUGUAAGAGAAGAACGGGUGUGAGAGUGGAAAGUUCACACUGUGACGGUAUCUUACCAGAAAGGGACGGCUAACUACGUG
rnacentral:rRNA from 1 species